AGAGUUUGAUCCUGGCUCAGGAUGAACGCUAGCGGCAGGCCUAACACAUGCAAGUCGAGGGGCAGCGAGGGUAGCAAUACCUGUCGGCGACAGGCGCACGGGUGAGUAACGCGUAUGCAACCUACCCUUUACUGGGGGAUAGCCCGGAGAAAUUCGGAUUAAUACCCCAUAUGAUUAUGUUAUCGCAUGGUAAUGUAAUGAAAACUCAGGUGGUAAAGGAUGGGCAUGCGUGACAUUAGUUAGUUGGUGAGGUAACGGCUCACCAAGACUACGAUGUCUAGGGGUCCUGAGAGGGUGAUCCCCCACACUGGUACUGAGACACGGACCAGACUCCUACGGGAGGCAGCAGUGAGGAAUAUUGCGCAAUGGAGGCAACUCUGACGCAGCCAUGCCGCGUGCAGGAUGACGGCCCUAUGGGUUGUAAACUGCUUUUGUACGGGAAUAACCGUUGAUACGUGUAUCGGUCUGCAUGUACCGUACGAAUAAGCAUCGGCUAACUCCGUGCCAGCAGCCGCGGUAAUACGGAGGAUGCAAGCGUUAUCCGGAUUUAUUGGGUUUAAAGGGUGCGUAGGCGGGUCUUUAAGUCAGUGGUGAAAGUCUGCAGCUUAACUGUAGAAUUGCCAUUGAAACUGGAAACCUUGAGUGCGGUUGAGGUAGGCGGAAUAAGUAAUGUAGCGGUGAAAUGCUUAGAUAUUACUUAGAACACCGAUUGCAUAGGCAGCUUACUAAGCCGUAACUGACGCUGAGGCACGAAGGCGUGGGGAGCGAACAGGAUUAGAUACCCUGGUAGUCCACGCCGUAAACGAUGAUCACUCGCUGUUGGCAACACAUAGUCAGCGGCCAAGCGAAAGCAUUAAGUGAUCCACCUGGGGAGUACGCUCGCAAGAGUGAAACUCAAAGGAAUUGACGGGGGCCCGCACAAGCGGUGGAACAUGUGGUUUAAUUCGAUGAUACGCGAGGAACCUUACCUGGGCUUAAAUGUAGAAUGCUUUACUCGAAAGAGUAUUUUCCUUCGGGACGUUUUACAAGGUGCUGCAUGGUUGUCGUCAGCUCGUGCCGUGAGGUGUCGGGUUAAGUCCCAUAACGAGCGCAACCCCUAUCGUUAGUUGCUAGCAGGUAAUGCUGAGGACUCUAGCGAAACUGCCGGUGUAAACCGAGAGGAAGGUGGGGAUGACGUCAAAUCAGCACGGCCCUUAUGUCCAGGGCUACACACGUGUUACAAUGGUCGGUACAAAGGGCAGCUACCUGGUGACAGGAUGCUAAUCUCUAAAGCCGAUCUCAGUUCGGAUCGAAGUCUGCAACUCGACUUCGUGAAGCUGGAAUCGCUAGUAAUCGCGCAUCAGCCAUGGCGCGGUGAAUACGUUCCCGGGCCUUGUACACACCGCCCGUCAAACCAUGGAAGCCGGGGGUACCUGAAGUUCGUAACCGCAAGGAGCGACCUAGGGUAAGUCUGGUGACUGGGGUUAAGUCG
rnacentral:rRNA from 1 species